rnacentral:rRNA from 1 species
GAUGAACGCUGGCGGCGUGCCUAAUACAUGCAAGUCGAGCGAACGGACGAGAAGCUUGCUUCUCUGAUGUUAGCGGCGGACGUGUGAGUAACACGUGGAUAACCUACCUAUAAGACUGGGAUAACUUCGGGAAACCGUAGCUAAUACCGGAUAAUAUUUUGCACCGCAUUGUUCAAAAGUGAAAUACGGUCUUGCUGUCACUUAUAGAUGGAUCUGCGCUGCAUUAGCUAGUUGUUAAGGUAACGGCUUAUCAAGGGAACGAUGCAUAGCCGACCUGAGAGGGUGAUCGGCCACACUGGAACUGAGACGCGGUCCAGACUCCUACGGGAGGCAGCAGUAGGGAAUCUUCCGCAAUGGGCGAAAGCCUGACGGAGCAACGCCGCGUGAGUGAUGACGGUCUUCGGAUCGUAAAACUCUGUUAUUAGGGAAGAACAUAUGUGUAAGUAACUGUGCACAUCUUGACGGUAACUAAUCAGAAAGCCACGGCUAACUACGUG